GACGAACGCUGGCGGCGUGCUUAACACAUGCAAGUCGAACGGAAAGGCCCCCUUGUGGGGUACUCGAGUGGCGAACGGGUGAGUAACACGUGAGUAACCUACCCUUGACUUUGGGAUAACUUCAGGAAACUGGGGCUAAUACCGGAUAGGAGCUCCUGCUGCAUGGUGGGGGUUGGAAAGUUUCGGCGGUUGGGGAUGGACUCGCGGCUUAUCAGCUUGUUGGUGGGGUAGUGGCUCACCAAGGCUUUGACGGGUAGCCGGCCUGAGAGGGGGACCGGCCAAAUGGGGAAUGAGAAACGGCCCAGACCCCUAGGGGGGGGAGCGGGGGGGAAUAUGCGACAAAGGGGGGAAGCCUAAGGCAGCAACGCGGGGGGGGGGAAGACGGCCUUGGGGUUGAAAACCGCUUUCCCCGGGGACGAAGGGUGGGUGAGGGGAAUGGGAAAAAAAGCACCGGCUAACUACGU
rnacentral:rRNA from 1 species